rnacentral:rRNA from 1 species
UACGGAGGGGGCUAGCGUUGUUCGGAAUUACUGGGCGUAAAGCGCACGUAGGCGGCUUUGUAAGUUAGAGGUGAAAGCCCAGGCUUAACCCUGGAAUUGCCUUUAAGACUGCAUCGCUAGAAUCGUGGAGAGGUGAGUGGAAUUCCGAGUGUAGAGGUGAAAUUCGUAGAUAUUCGGAAGAACACCAGUGGCGAAGGCGACUCACUGGACCGGUAUUGACGCUGAGGUGCGAAAGCGUGGGGAGCAAACAGG